CGAAUACGCACGGCCGUUCGUCGCCGGCCGGAUAGGUUCGUAUUCUAAAUUACUUUCCCUACUCAACUUUACGUAUGUUUGGGUUAGUUAGGUCCGACGAACAUGGGUUGCAACGGGUAACGGAGGGUUAGGGCUCGACCCCGGAGAAGGAGCCUGAGAAACGGCUACUACAUCCAAGGAAGGCAGCAGGCGCGCAAAUUACCCAAUCCCGACUCGGGGAGGUAGUGACAAUAAAUACUGAUACAGGGCCCUUUCGGGCCUUGUAAUUGGAAUGAGUACAAUUUAAAUCCCUUAACGAGGAACAAUUGGAGGGCAAGUC
rnacentral:rRNA from 1 species